CAGUCGCCGCGGUAAUACCGAGGGUGCGAGCGUUAAUCGGAAUUACUGGGCGUAAAGCGCGCGUAGACGGUUUUGUAAGUCAGAUGUGAAAUCCCUGGGCUCAACCUGGGAACUGCAUUUGAUACUGCAUGGCUAGAGUAUCGAAGAGGGAAGUGGAAUUUCCGGUGUAGCGGUGAAAUGCGUAGAUAUCGGAAGGAACGCCCGUGGCGAAAGCGAGGUCCUGGACCCUUUCUGACGCUGAGACGCGAAAGCCAGGGGAGCGAACGGGAUUAGAGACCCCCGUAGUCCCUGUCUCUUAUAC
rnacentral:rRNA from 1 species